rnacentral:rRNA from 1 species
UACAGAGGGUGCAAGUGUUGUUCGGAAUCAUUGGGCGUAAAGGGCGCGUAGGCGGUUAGAUAAGUUAGAUGUGAAAGCCCUGGGCUUAACUCAGGAAAUGCAUUUGAUACUGUCUGACUAGAGUUCGGUAGAGGAUAGUGGAAUUCCCGGUGUAGAGGUGAAAUUCGUAGAUAUCGGGAGGAACACCAGUGGCGAGAGCGGCUAUCUGGGCCGACACUGACGCUGAGGCGCGAAAGCGUGGGGAGCAAACAGG